CCGUAGGGAAACCGAGUCUGAAUAGGGCGAAAGUCGCAGCGCGCAGACCCGAAGCCAGGUGAUCUAUCCAUGGCCAGGUUGAAACGAGGGUAACACCUCGCGGAGGACCGAACUCACCUAGGUUGAAAACUAGGGGGGAUGAGCUGUGGAUCGGAGUGAAAGGCUAAUCAAACUUGGAAAUAGCUGGUUCUCCCCGAAAUGUAUUGACGUACAGCGUCAUUCAGUGCCGCCGGAGGUAGAGCACUGACAGGGCUAGGGGGCCUCACAGCCUACCAAACCCUAUCAAACUCCGAAUGCCGGCGAGCAGCGAUUGGCAGUGAGGCCGUGGGAGAUAAGUUUCAUGGCCGAGAGGGAAAGAGCCCAGACUGCCGGCUAAGGUCCCUAAAUCCAUGCUAAGUGGUCGAGGAUGUAGGGCAACUCAGACAACCAGGAGGUUGGCUUAGAAGCAGCCAUCCUUUAAAGAAAGCGUAAUAGCUCACUGGUCGAGUUGCCCUGCGCCGUAAAUAUAACGGGGC
rnacentral:rRNA from 1 species